UUUGGUGGAGGAACCAGACUGGAUGUUGGAAGUGAUGUCCGUCCCACCCUGACGGUGCUGCCCCCCUCCAGUGAGGAGCUGCAGCAGGGGAAGGCCACGCUCAUGUGCCUGGCCAACAAGGGCUUCCCCUCAGACUGGAGUCUGGCCUGGAAGGUGGACGGCAGCAGCAGCAGCAGCAGCAGCUGGGAGGAGAGCAGGAGCCCCGGGGUGCUGGAGAAGGACGGCCGCUACAGCUGGAGCAGCACCCUGAGGCUCCCUGCAGACCAGUGGAGGAAGGUGGGCUCUGUGACCUGUGAGGCCACCCAGGGCUCCCAGGCUCUGGUCUCAGAGACACUGAGGAGAGACCAGUGUUCCCAGUCCUGACCUGACUCACUGGCACUCUGCUACUGGUUUUACUCUGCUACUGCUCUCAGUCUGCACUCUCUCUGGUUCUUCUUUUCUGUCAUUACACAUUUCAAUAUCAAUGUGUUCUUGCUUGUUGUAUUGCUGAUGGUUUUAAUAAUUCAUGCAAUAAAAAUAUCAAAUAAUGGC